rnacentral:tRNA from 2 species
AUUUAUAUAGUUUAAAUUAAAACUUUACAUUUUCAUUGUAAAAAUAAAAAAAUUAUUUUUUAUAAAUA